ensembl:lncRNA
GAAUGAGAGCUUAUGAAUGUGGGGGAGGCGGAGCUUAUGGAGGGGGCGGAGCCACCCAAAGCCCCGCCCACCUGUAGGUGUACAGCCCCGGCCCGGUGCUCCCCGCUCCUCCCCCCGGUGCCCCCCCGCAUGAUUACUUGCCCAUCGCCGUGCUCACCACCCUCUGCUGCUUCUGGCCCACCGGCGUCGUCGCCAUCGUCAAGGCCGUGCAGGUUGGGGGGGACGGGGGAGGGGGACAUUGGGAUUUUGGGGUCCUUCAUUGGGAUUUUGGGGUCUUUCUUGUGUCUGUGAGAUCAUUUGUUGGAGUCUUGUGGUCAUUUGUUGCGUUCUUCGGGCUCUCCGUUGAGUUUUGGGGUCAUUCAUUGGGAUUUUGCGGUCAUUUGUUGGGGUUUUGGGGUCUUUCUUGUGUCGAUGGGGUCAUCCGUCGGAGUCUUGUGGUCAUUGUGUGGGUUCUUGGGGCUCUCGGUUGAUUUUGGGGGUCACUCAUUGGGAUUUUGGGGUCAUUUGUUGGGAUUUUGGGGUCAUUUGUUGGCUUUUGGGGACGUUCAUUGGGGUCCUGUGGUCGUUGUGUGGGUUUUUGGGGGCUCUCCGUUGAGUUUUGGGGUCUCUCAUUGGGAUUUUGGGGUCAGUUGUUGGGGUUUUGGGGACUUUCUUGUCCUCCGUUGGAGCCUUGUGGUUGCUGUGUGGGUUUUUGGGGUUCUCCGUUGAAUUUGGGGGUCAUUUAUUGGAUUUGGGGGUCAUUUAUUGGGUUUUGGGGAUGUUCCUUGGGGUUUUGUGGUCGUUGUGUGGGUUUUGGAGGCUCUCUGUUGAGAUUUGGGGUCAUUCAUUGGGAUUUUGGGGUCGUUCAUUGGGAUUUUGGGGCCAUUUGUUGGUGUUCUGUGGUCAUUGUGUGGGUUUUUGGGCUCUCAGUUGAGUCUUGGGGUCAUUCACUGGGAUUUUGGGGUCAUUUGUUGGGUUUUGGGGUCUUCCGUUGGGUUUUGGUUGAGGUCAGUUGGGGUUUUGGGGUGUUUUGUUGGGGUUUGGGGGUCUCCUGUUUGGGUUUUGGGGUCUUCUGUUGGGUUUUGGUUGAGGUUGGUUGGGGUUUUGGGGUCUUCCGUUGGGUUUUGGUUGAGGUCGGUUGGGGUUUCGGGGUCUCCGCUUUGGGUUUUGGGGUCACCUGUUGGGUUCUGGUUGAGGUCGGUUGGGGUUUUGGGGUCUUCCGUUGGGUUUUGGUUGAGGUCGGUUGGGGUUUUGGGGUCUCCCCUUUGGGUUUUGGGGUCUUCCGUUGGGUUUUGGUUGAGGUCAGUUGGGGUUUGGGGGCAUUUCGUUGGGAUUUUGAGGUCUUCCAUUCGACUGUUGGGGUCUGUUCUUGGGGUUUUGGGGUCUCCUGCUGGGUUUUUGGGGUCUACUCUUGGGCUUUUGGGGUCUUUGUUGAGCCCCGUUGGGUUCUUGUUGACAUCGGUGGGGUUUUCGGGGUUCUCCGUGGGGUUUUUGGGGCAAAUUGUUGGGUUUUGGGGGCAAAUUGUUGGGUUUUCGGGGCCGUGCGUUGGGAUCUUGGGGUCCUUGGUUGCAUUUUGGGGGUCCCAGGGCCCCCUGUGGGGAUCCCUCAUCUCAUUGGUGGAAUCCCCGCUGCCCUCACCGUCCCACGUGACCCACACGUCCCCACCCCCAGCCCCACACGGCGCCCGGAGCCACGCCCCCUCGCUGCGCCAAUCCCACGAGUCCUCAUUGGCUGACGCCGGCCGUGCCAAUACCUGAUUGGACACCGCCGGCAUCACAGCUGCGACCCCAUUGGUCGGCCCCGUGCGGGCAGCGCUCCCGUUGGCCAACGCGGCGCCAUCUCUUCCCUCAUUGGCCAGGCCUGCCGGCACUUGUCGCUGAUUGGCCGCCGCCCUGUGGGCUGAAGCUCCGCCUUCCAUCACAGCCAAUGGGAUCCUGGGCUGUGGGAGAAAAGGAAUGGGGCAAGCUUAGGGGGCGGGGCAUGAGGAGUGGGCGUGGCUGGGGGCGUGGUCAAAGGGGGGCGUGGCCACACAAAGGGGGCGUGGCCACCCCAAGGGCUGGGGCGCACUAAGAGGUGUGCCCAUCACCGGGGGGGCGUGGCUACAGCAGUGGGCGUGGCCAAACGAAGGGGUGGGGCCUCAGAGAGGGGCGUGGCCACAUCAAAAGACACGUGGUCUCCAAGGGGGCGUGGCCACGUUGAUAAAGGGCGUGGCCUCGCAUUGGGGGGUGGGCACAGAAGGGGGCGUGGCCUCCCAACGGGGCGUGGCCACAGAAAAUGGGCGUGGCCUCCAGGGGGUGUGUGGGCAUGAUAAUAGGGCGGGGACUCAAAUGGGGGAGUGGCCUCCAAGAGGGGGCGUGGUCUCAGAGUUGGGGCGUGGCCUCAAAUGGGGCGUGGCCACACGAAGGGGGCGUGGUCUUCUGGGGGCGUGGGCACACCAAAGGGGCGUGGCCAACCGGGGGCGUGGCCACAUUGAAUGGCCGUGGCCUCUAAGGGGGCGGGGCCACAACAAGGUCCAAUGGGGUGUGGCCACAGCACAGGGGCGUGGUCUCAGAGGGGGGCGUGGUCACACCCGAGGGGCGUGGCCUCAAAUGGGGCGUGGCCACAACGAAAGGGGCGUGGCCACACGAAAGGGGCGUGGCCACACGAAGGGGGCGUGGUCUCAUGUGGGCGUGGGCACACCAAAGGGGUUUGGCCAACUGGGGGGCGUGGACACAUUGAAUGGGCGUGGCCUCAAAUGGGGCGUGGCCACAACGAAAGGGGCGUGGCCACAACGAAAGGGGCGUGGCCAACUGGGGGGCGUGGCCACAUCAAAUGGGUGCGGCUCCAAGGGGUGAGGCCACAUUUAAAAGGGCGUGGCCUCUCGGGGGCGUGGCCACAAUAAAGGGGCGUGGCCAACCA